AUUGAACGCUGGCGGCAGGCCUAACACAUGCAAGUCGAGCGGGGUUUUCGGACCUAGCGGCGGACGGGUGAGUAAUGCGUAGGAAGCUGCCCGAUAGAGGGGGAUACCAGUUGGAAACGACUGUUAAUACCGCAUAAUGUCUACGGACCAAAGUGUGGGACCUUCGGGCCACAUGCUAUCGGAUGCGCCUACGUGGGAUUAGCUAGUUGGUGAGGUAAUGGCUCACCAAGGCGACGAGCUCUAGCUGGUUUUAGAGGAUGAUCAGCCACACUGGAACUGAGACACGGUCCAGACUCCUACGGGAGGCAGCAGUGGGGAAUAUUGGACAAUGGGCGCAAGCCUGAUCCAGCCAUGCCGCGUGUGUGAAGAGGGCCUUCGGGUUGUAAAGCACUUUCAGCGAGGAGGAAGGGGUGUGUGUUAAUAGUACACACCUUUGACGUUACUCGCAGAAGAAGCACCGGCUAACUCUGUGCCAGCAGCCGCGUAACAC
rnacentral:rRNA from 1 species